CGCGCAGGCGGCCAGGUCAGUCGAAUGUGAAACGCCCCGGCUCAACUGGGGAAGGUCGUUCGAUACUGCCUGGCUCGAAGAUAGGAGAGGGAAGUGGAAUUUCAGGUGUAGUGGUGAAAUGCGUAGAUAUCUGAAGGAACACCAGUGGCGAAGGCGACUUUCUGGCCUAUUCUUGACGCUGAGGCGCGAAAGCUAGGGGAGCGAACG
rnacentral:rRNA from 1 species